GCCGAAAUAGCUCAUUGGGAGAGCGUUAGACUCUGAAGAUCUAAAGGUCCCUGGUUCGAUCCCUGGUUUCGGCA
rnacentral:tRNA from 1 species